rnacentral:lncRNA from 1 species
UAAAAAUUUGAAAGUCUCGGAAAAUUUGAGAGGUUUGCAACAGCAUUGAACUUCAUCAGAUGACGCUCAUUUUUCUACAGGUUCAAUUCAAUCAAUGAAAACCAUUCAAAGGGAGACUGGAGCAAACUGAAAAUUCAAAUAUAAAGGCCACCCUCCCGAAAGCACCCAAAAGCUAUCCUUUGAGUGCUAAUACUUGAAGGCUUCAAGAAAAAAACAACAUGAGCAUGGCUCAUAAUUUACGAUUAACAGUUUUCUUUGAUUUUCUUGCAGCCUCCAGAGAAAAAAUGCAGAUAACAAAUUUAAAAAAGUAAAGGAGGAGAACUGACCUUAGCUCAGCUCUGAGAAUUCCAUGACCUAUGAUAAAAUGCAGUUUUUCUAAAUUGGAUGUUGGCCUGGCCUCUAACCAAGACUGGUAGCUGUCUGCAGUGUACUCUUCAUCUUGCAAUUUCCUUCUCACAUCGUCACCUAAUUUGUUCUUCCGUUUCAGUGUUAAAGAGACUAGUUUGUGACGUAUUGAGCGUGGUUUUGUCUUCAAAAAUGUUUCCUGGUCCAUGCCCAUCAUCUGAGCUUCUUGGAACUCCUUGCUGCGGAUGAAAUUUCGUCCCAGAGUUGCUGUAACUUUGGACAUAACAGAUGUGUUGUCUCUGUCCAUCGUGUGGUAGCGAGGUUCUGCUAGGUCACCACAAAAUCUGAGUAUUGUGAUCCACAGUGCUUGUGCAGCCUGGAAAAUUUUGACAUAUACAGAUACACCUUAUGAAUGGGUUUGUAAGUGAGAAAAAUUGAUGAAGAAGUCUCUAGCCUUCAAUGGUUUUGUUCUACUCAUACUGGGAAAAUGGAAUGAAAUUAGAUUUACUCAGGAUAGGAUUUUUCCUGUGUUUUGGCAUGAAACCUGAAAAGGGAGCUCACAUUUGUGAAUAAAUUCAAAUCAAAAUACUUAGUGAAUUAUUAAGAAAAAGACGAGCUUUCGUUUAUUCAUUCCAAAUAACUUUUUUUUUUUUUUGUACUUCUUAUCAAGAGGAUACUCCAAGACCAAGAUGGAUAGACUCAGAAAAAGCACAUCUCAGAAUACAGAGUUGUAAAUUUUCUUGUACAUAUUUCAUUCAACAAACAAAAAACAACUUAUUUUUAUGUUUUGAAAUUUUCCUUGGUCUUCCUUUACCCUGCAAUGAUUAUUCUGAAUGAAUCGCAAGUCAUAAUAUUAGUUAGCUUUUCAUAAAAAUGAUCAGAGAUUUUGAAGGUCUGCGAUAAGUUUUAUAGUUUCAGACUUUAGCCAUUGAUAUUUAAACAUAAUGUUCUACAUCAGAAUGACUGGCACCUGAUAAUAACUAUUGAAGACCCCUUUGUGUUAGAUUUGAGGAGUAAUUGGGAGGUGGAGGGAUACACACAGCUGCAAAAUAUCAGACGAGUUAA